UUUUACUGCGUUUCUCUAACUACUUGCAAGCAUGAUGCAUAUGUGAAGGAGUUUAUGUGCAGAGGAAAUGUAACCUGGCUGCUCUGGAUAACCUCUAUUUGGAAGCUGGUUAUGAACAGGCCCUUUAAACUUUUCUUAUUUAACAAUGGGCACGUUCAUGUGGAAGAGGCAGAGCAGGUUAUUAAAGCAUCAUGGUCAGAGGCAUACAUCUGGAAUUAAAUGAUAGAAGGAGGAUUCAGGAUAAUGUGGACAUGUCCAAAUGCUUGUAACAUUGGUGUACAUGCAAAACAAAAUACAAUGACUAUUAUUUUGCCAUCAUCUUCGAUGUGCUGUAAACAAAAAUACUAUGCUCUCUGCUACUGAAUGUGUACAUCAUGUCAUGCCUCUGGCUUGCUCUACCCAGGCACGUCCUCCUGUCUGAAUUCUCCUGCUGUUUUCUUUAUAUGUGAAAGCCAUACUCCUUCACAAUUAUUCAGACAUUAUCAUUUCUCAUUUAAGCUGUUUUCAGGCAUGACCUGCAGGUAAAAUCCAAAUAAUUGGCUACAGUAUUGACCCAGUUUACCUUUCACACAUGCACAAGACAGAUAUACAGUACAUAUGUUUGUAUGUGUGUAAAGUUUAUGCAACAACGCACAAGAGUAUGCAUCACCCUGUAGGCAGAAACUAUACUCAUGACAAAGAGUAAAGGAGAAGGUUUCUGUAGUUGAAUUUUGCAAGAAAAACAACCCUCAUGAGGAUUGAGGCAACAACAGCAAUUUUUAAUACCACCAGUCUUACUAAGCAAGUAAACAAUUUUUUUUUAAUCUUUUCCUGCAGAAAUGGCACCAUGCAUCAGCCCCUUUCAGGAUGCAAUUCAACAUGUUAUUUCACAGACUGACAAAAUCUGCAAAUUAGAGGUCCAGUAUAUUAAUGCAGUAAAAGGACGUGGCGUAUUUGCAAAGGGUACAAUUUGUAAAGGAGACUUUGUUGUACAAUAUAGGGGGGAUAUGAUAAGUGAUGCAGAAUCACAGAGAAGGAGAAAACUUUACCACCCCUCAUGUGCUGCAUUCAUGUUUGCCUUCAAGUGGAGAGGGAAAACAUGGUGUGUUGAUGCCUCCAGAGAAGAUGGCUCAAUUGGGCGACUAGUUAAUGAUGAACACAGACGUCCUAACUCGAAAAUGAAAAAAAUGUAUGUUAAUGGAGUACCCCACCUUUGUGUAUUUGCCCUGGAUGACAUCAAAGAAGGAGAAGAAAUCACCUAUGAUUAUGGAGGUGAAGACUGCCCAUGGCGAACACAAACGACCAGCAUCACUGUUGACACCAUGGAGGAGGAUGACUCUGAUCCUGUCCACUCAGAGAGUCUGAUAGAUGGUGCCUUUGCGCCAAAGACCACACCU